rnacentral:rRNA from 1 species
GACGAACGCUGGCGGCGUGCUUAACACUUGCCAGUCGAACGGAAAGGCCCUGCUUUUGUGGGGUGCUCGAGUGGCGAACGGGUGAGUAACACGUGAGUAACCUGCCCUUGACUUUGGGAUAACUUCAGGAAACUGGGGCUAAUACCGGAUAGGAGCUCCUGCUGCAUGGUGGGGGUUGGAAAGUUUCGGCGGUUGGGGAUGGACUCGCGGCUUAUCAGCUUGUUGGUGGGGUAGUGGCUUACCAAGGCUUUGACGGGUAGCCGGCCUGAGAGGGUGACCGGCCACAUUGGGACUGAGAUACGGCCCAGACUCCUACGGGAGGCAGCAGUGGGGAAUAUUGCACAAUGGGCGGAAGCCUGAUGCAGCAACGCCGCGUGCGGGAUGACGGCCUUCGGGUUGUAAACCGCUUUCGCCUGUGACGAAGCGUGAGUGACGGUAAUGGGGAAAGAAGCACCGGCUAACUACGU